rnacentral:rRNA from 1 species
UACGAAGGGGGCUAGCGUUGCUCGGAAUCACUGGGCGUAAAGGGUGCGUAGGCGGGUCUUUAAGUCAGGGGUGAAAUCCUGGAGCUCAACUCCAGAACUGCCUUUGAUACUGAGGAUCUUGAGUUCGGGAGAGGUGAGCGGAACUGCGAGUGUAGAGGUGAAAUUCGUAGAUAUUCGCAAGAACACCAGUGGCGAAGGCGGCUUACUGGUCCGGUUCUGACGCUGAGGCGCGAAAGCGUGGGGAGCAAACAGG